rnacentral:rRNA from 1 species
CGGAGGAUCCAAGCGUUAUCCGGAAUCAUUGGGUUUAAGGGGUCCUAGGCGGUCUGGUAAGUCAGUGGUGAAAGCCCAUCGCUCAACGGUGAACGGCCAUUGAUACUGCUGGACUUGAAUUAUUGGGAAGUAACUAGAAUAUGUAGUGUAGCGGUGAAAUGCUUAGAGAUUACAUGGAAUACCAAUUGCGAAGGCAGGUUACUACCAAUGGAUUGACGCUGAUGGACGAAAGCGUGGGUAGCGAACAGGAUUAGAUACCCUGGUAGUCCACGCCGUAAACGAUGGAUACUAGCUGUUGGGAGCAAUCUCAGUGGCUAAGCGAAAGUGAUAAGUAUCCCACCUGGGGAGUACGUUCGCAAGAAUG